rnacentral:lncRNA from 1 species
AGGAACAGAGAGGGAAAACAGAGAAAAUCAAAAACAACUCAAAAUUUGGGAAAACGAUUUUUGACUGUUAUUCCCUAGUUGUAUUUAUAUCAACACUGAUAAAACUAAACUCCUUAGAUCUAGCCUCGAUUACUGUGCAUUACCAACUAACUCAGUUGAGCAGAGAAACAAAUGCCAUUGAUUUCUGUGCUAUAGCAACGGUAACAACUCCUUACAAACAACAGAGUAAAAUAAAGAGAAGACGAUACAAAUAUAAAAUGGCAAAGCAUAGUGCCGUAUGACUCUAAACAUGGACUUAUAAAACCACAACAAAUAAAAUUACAUCGUUUAACUAAAAAUCUUCGAUCUUCAUAAUGCUGUUGGUUCCCUCCAAUCUUCAACAGCUUCCUUCAUUCUUCAACAACUUCAACUAGAGACAAAAGAUUAAAUCUUCAAAAUGCCAGCCAAGUGGGGUUUACAGUGCGCUUUCGUCCAGUUUUUGUGUUGUAAAUGAUUAGAGUGUGAUGAGCAUCUGUUGUAUGUAUUGUAUAGAGUGAUGCUCAGUUUUUGAUCGCUGCAUAUUUUUUAUACUGGGUCUGUACCGUUCGAGGGCUGUUGAUCUUAUGCACGGGAAGGUUGGCUCUGAAGAUAGGUUGAGCUGAUCUUGAGUCGAUAUGUUUUUCCUUUGAAGUAUAAAGGUUUAAAAUCCCUCUGUUUUUACAGGGAAUUGAGUUUUGAACCAAUUAUUAUUGUUCAAAUCAGGAAUCAGAAUACUUCCAAAACAUACACUCUUCUCACAGAGCUUUACUUCAUUAAGACAUUGAUUGAAAGUUUAGCAUACAGAAUCCCACUUUUUGAUGUCAUUUCCCAACACCAAAGAUUACCAUCCUAGUAACAUGAUAUUACAUGAUGCUUCUUAUCACAGAUUUAUUCAUGAGAAAAGUGGGAAGUCUAACUUGGUAGCUUAAAAGUUACUGGGAGUAGACAAGCACUGCAUCGUCGUCACAAUCCACAAUCUUAUAGUCCACUAUUAGGUGCCCUUGUUUGAUGCCGUUCCCAUUGGUGUCAAUCGGUUUAAACGCAGUUUCAAGGUCCAACUCCAGGCCUCCAGUGCCGCAUGUGUCAACGAUUCUCACUAUUUCCUCGUCUUUAGUUUCAGUGUUGGUUACCUGCAAGUACAGUGGCGGAGCCAAGAUUGAUUAAACUAUGCAUGAAAAUAAUAUACAACUCAGAAUUUUAACACGUUAUGGCCUUGAUUUGCACGACUUAAAUUUAGGAGUUUCAGAACUUUUGAGGUUGCCAUGGCCCCUUUGAACCUAACUACCAUCCUAUCCUGCAUGCAGGUGAGGAUAAAUUAUGUUUAUAUCUCAUAAUUUCGAUGUAUUGCACGAGCUGAGCUUUUCUAAGGCGAAGUCUCUAAUUUUCUUUCAGUACUAUAUAUUCAAUAGACAUAUUCAAUUUAUGAAGAUGAAAAUUAGUGAGAGGUAGAAAAAGUUGCUCACCUUUAAGCACUUGCCACAAGCGUCUACUCCCGUAGGACCAACUGGUCCACAGAAACCGGUCCAUCCAUACUUGCUGCGCCAUUCCAAGGGCUUAGCACCAACCGCUGCGGCGCAAAAAGAAGGUAUUUCCCAGCUAUUCUGUGAAGGUUGGUAGUCAGUCCAAUAAGCCGUGACAUCGGUAGCAUCUGGGACGUCGUCUGCAUCACAAUCCACAAAUGCAUAGUCCACAGUAAGGUGACCUUGUUUAAUGCCGUUUCCAUCAGUGUCAAUGGGUUUAAACGCAGUCUCGAGGUCCAACUCUAGGCCUCCAGUGCCGCAUGUAUCGACUAUUCUCACCGUUUCAUAAGCUCCAGUGGCAGUGUUGGUCACCUACACGUAUGCAAGAGAAUAAAUCGUACGUAUAGCUCAGAAAUUUUAAUGAAUACACGAGCUUUUUUAUUGAAAACGAAAGGGAAAUAGGAAAGAUCAAUAACAAAAUUAUCAAGGAAACAAAGGUUUAGGUCCUUGC